AACGUGCGUUCGUUGGCAUGAUACAACAGUGCGUGUUUUACUUCCUUUCUACUCGAAAAACUGGAGAAGAACUGGAAAAACAAGUAUUGCAAAAGUAUUUGCAAAAAGCAAAUAUGACGAAACCUACCCAUGUGAUUUCUCACUCGUCACAUUAAAACCGGAGCACUUGUCGGCAUGUUUCUUUUCCAUUUCUUUUUUAUAUUUAAUUGCGUGUCGCUGAUUAUAUAAGCAAGCUACAAAAUUACUAUCUGAAUAUGACUAAGAUCAGAGAGAGAAAGAGAGAAUAUUCUUCAAAGGCUGACUGCUACAAGAGAUCCGCAAUUUAUAAAUAUGAUAGGAAGUUUUGUGUGCUGCAUGCAUUUUUUCAGUGCACUAUACAAAAUCAUAUUUUUUUAAUUUUAAUAAAAUU